CUACGGGAGGCAGCAGUGAGGAAUUUUGCGCAAUGGGGGGAACCCUGACGCAGCAACGCCGCGUGAGUGAAGAAGGCCUUUGGGUCGUAAAGCUCUGUCAACAAGGAAGAAAUUGGUUAUGUUUAAUAGAUGUAGCCAUUGACGGUACUUGUGGAGGAAGCGCCGGCUAACUCCGUGCCAGCAGCCGCGGUAACACGGGGGGCGCAAGCGUUAUUCGGAAUUAUUGGGCGUAAAGGGCGCGUAGGCGGUCUUAUCGGUCAGAUGUGAAAGCCCAGGGCUCAACCCUGGACGUGCAUUUGAAACAGUAAGACUUGAGUACGGGAGAGGAAAGCGGAAUUCCUGGUGUAGAGGUGAAAUUCGUAGAUAUCAGGAGGAACACCGAUGGCGAAGGCAGCUUUCUGGACCGAUACUGACGCUGAGGCGCGAAGGCGUGGGUAGCGAACGGGAUUAGAUACCCCGGUAGUCCACGCAGUAAACGAUGUACACUAGGUGUAGCGGAUAUUAAAAUUUGCUGUGCCGCAGCUAACGCAUUAAGUGUACCGCCUGGGGAGUACGGUCGCAAGACUAAAACUCAAAGGAAUUGACGG
rnacentral:rRNA from 1 species